GAUGAACGCUGGCGGCGUGCCUAAUACAUGCCAGUCGAGCGAACAGACGAGGAGCUUGCUCCUCUGACGUUAGCGGCGGACGGGUGAGUAACACGUGGAUAACCUACCUAUAAGACUGGGAUAACUUCGGGAAACCGGAGCUAAUACCGGAUAAUAUAUUGAACCGCAUGGUUCAAUAGUGAAAGACGGUUUUGCUGUCACUUAUAGAUGGAUCCGCGCCGCAUUAGCUAGUUGGUAAGGUAACGGCUUACCAAGGCAACGAUGCGUAGCCGACCUGAGAGGGUGAUCGGCCACACUGGAACUGAGACACGGUCCAGACUCCUACGGGAGGCAGCAGUAGGGAAUCUUCCGCAAUGGGCGAAAGCUUGACGGAGCAACGCCGCGUGAGUGAUGAAGGUCUUCGGAUCGUAAAACUCUGUUAUUAGGGAAGAACAAAUGUGUAAGUAACUAUGCACGUCUUGACGGUACCUAAUCAGAAAGCCACGGCCAACUACGUG
rnacentral:rRNA from 1 species